rnacentral:lncRNA from 1 species
AUAUCCUCCAAUAAAACUACAUUGCAAAAAAUGGGAAAGAAACAAAAUGGAAAGAGUAAAAAAGUUGAAAAGGCAGAGCCUGAAGAAUUUGUGGUAGAAAGAAUACUGGACUGUCAUGUAGUGAAUGGGAAGGUGGAGUAUUUCCUGAAGUGGAAGGGGUUCACAGAUGCUGAUGAUACUUGGGAAUCAGAAGAAAAUUUAGAUUGUCCAGAAUUAAUUUAAGCAUUUCUUAAUUCUCAAAAAGCUGGUAAAUAAAUAGAUGGUACAAAAAGCAAAUCUUUAUCUGACAGUGAAUCUAAUGAUAGCAAAUAGACAAAGAGAGAUGCUGCUGACAAACCAAGGGGCUUUGCCAGAGGUCUUGAUCCUGAAUGAAUAAUUGGUGCUACAGACUGCAGCGGAGAAUUAAUGUUUCUCAUGAAGUGGAAGGACUCAGAUGAGGCUGACUUGGUGCUGGCAAAGGAAAAGAAUAUGAAGUGUCCACAGAUUGGCAUUGCCUUCUACAAGGAGAGGCUGACUUGGCAUUCUUGACCUGAAGAUGAAGCACAAUAA